CAGCCGCCGCGGGAAUACGUAGGUGACAAGCGUUGUCCGGAAUUAUCGGGCGUAAAGGGCUCGCAGGCGGUUUCUUAGGUCUGAUGUGAAAGCCCCCGGCUCAACCGGGGAGGGUCAUUGGAAACUGGGAAACUUGAGUGCAGAAGAGGAGAGUGGAAUUCCACGUGUAGCGGUGAAAUGCGUAGAGAUGUGGAGGAACACCAGUGGCGAAGGCGACUCUCUGGUCUGUAACUGACGCUGAGGAGCGAAAGCGUGGGGAGCGAACAGGAUUAGAUACCCCAGUAGUCCCUGUCUCUUAUAA
rnacentral:rRNA from 1 species